GACGACGCUGGCGGCGUGCCUAACACAUGCAAGUCGAGCGGAGAUAUAUAGAAGGUUUACCGGAAAUAUAUCUUAGCGGCGGACGGGUGAGUAACGCGUGGGCAACCUGCCUCAUACAGGGGGGAUAACACAGGGAAACUUGUGCUAAUACCGCAUGAUAUCAUUGUAUGGCAUCAUACGAUGAUCAAAGGAGCAAUCCGGUAUGAGAUGGGCCCGCGUCCGAUUAGCUAGUUGGUGAGGUAAAGGCUCACCAAGGCGGCGAUCGGUAGCCGAACUGAGAGGUUGAUCGGCCACAUUGGGACUGAGACACGGCCCAGACUCCUACGGGAGGCAGCAGUGGGGAAUAUUGCGCAAUGGGGGAAACCCUGACGCAGCAACGCCGCGUGAAGGAAGAAGGCCUUCGGGUUGUAAACUUCUUUGAUUGGGGACGAAGAAAGUGACUGUACCCAAAAAACAAGCCACGGCUAACUACGUG
rnacentral:rRNA from 1 species